rnacentral:lncRNA from 1 species
AUGGACUUGGCAGAGCAAGUCCAGGCUUUAGUGGCUCUAUCCGCCGAGCAGACCAUGUCUCUCGGAGCCACCGAGCGAUCUGACCGGCAGGUCGUGAUGUUCCUGCGACCACGGCAACACAAUUUCAAGCGUCGGUUGCGAGGUGCCAGCUCGAGGAAGAAGAUGAGCCGCCUACCGCAGCCAAAGAUGGCUGCCCCUCGCGGUCGUCUGCCAGGAGCUCUGCUGCUCAUCUUGGCGGAAACAAGAUCUGGUGGCGUGGUGUUGGGGAUGGCAUCAACGACAGCUCCUCUGCCCAAGCCGCCGAACAAGGCCGACAGAACCAGAUCAUGGGAGAUCCAGCCUAUCCAGCACUCGAUCACACCGCUGGGCCUGGCGAUGGCGUCAUCGCCGUUGGCGCCCUCAACGGAGGCAGCGAAGACGACGGCGAGUUCCACUUCGACGGCGACACAACACGGCUUGGGCGUUCGGUUCUCAAGCGCAAUUUCUAGGAUAUGUGACACGGUUUCCGCAGUUAGCGGCGCAAAUUUCGCUGACGGUUGGAGCAGAGCCAUGGGAGGCGGAGCAGUUUCUUUGAGCGCCUGGUUUGGCACGAUCUACUCGCGAACCGCGUGCUUCGCGGGGUUGGCCCAUUUCGUGCGCUCGAUGGGUAGAGGCAUGGAGGCGGCACAGAUCGCGCCAAGUCCAAGCGCUAGAAGUUUGCAGCUCGUCGCUCGUAGCGGCGUGGUCUCCGGAAGAAAAGGGAGAUAUGGUUUCUGUCCUCUCCUGGUUGGGCUGGUUGGUUUCCAUGUUGGCCCAUCACGUAAAGGUGGAUCAUUAUCAUAUUUUGGGCCAAGGCCUCCGUCGGAAUCUACUGGUGGGCUGUUCUGGUGGUCAAUUGGACUGGAGAUUGGGUUACUAUUCGAGCCCUCCUUUCGCUCAAGGUUCUUGGGUGGGGUCCUCCUAUGCAUGCUGCUUGCAUAGUAGCCUGGCA